rnacentral:rRNA from 1 species
UACAGAGGUCUCAAGCGUUGUUCGGAUUCAUUGGGCGUAAAGGGCUCGUAGGCGGUCCAUCGCGUCGGGAGUGAAAAGCUGGGGCUUAACCCCAGUCCUGCUUCCGAUACGGGUGGACUAGAGGUAGGCAGGGGAGAACGGAAUUCCGUGGUGUAGCGGUGAAAUGCGCAGAUAUCAGGAGGAACACCGGUGGCGAAGGCGGUUCUCUGGGCCUUACCUGACGCUGAGGAGCGAAAGCGUGGGGAGCAAACAGG